ACUCAGUGAAAUUGAACUCGCUGUGAAGAUGCAGUGUACCCGCGGCAAGACGGAAAGACCCCGUGAACCUUUACUAUAGCUUGACACUGAACAUUGAGCCUUGAUGUGUAGGAUAGGUGGGAGGCUUUGAAGUGUGGACGCCAGUCUGCAUGGAGCCGACCUUGAAAUACCACCCUUUAAUGUUUGAUGUUCUAACGUU
rnacentral:rRNA from 1 species